UUAAUUUUACAAACAGUUCCAAAAUGUCAAAGAGUGAGAAAUGAAGCAUUAUAAUCAAAAUGUUUUUCAAUAUGUUAAAUCAUACAAAUUUGCAGUGAUUAAGAUUGUUUUUGGGAUUAUACAUUUUCGCAUAACAUUCAGAAACAGGUGAUGCUCGAACAGCAGACCAGACAAAUCUCAAAUAGAGAUAAGACUAGUGCUACGCCCUCUUCGGAUUCAUGAUAAUGAAGCAUAUGUAGGUAAGUACAGUUGGGCGCUAAAAAACAUCCCAUCGAUUUGUCGCCUUGACUGGACUUAAAAUGCUUAUGUAAAAUUAGGCUAAAAGAAGGGCGGCCAAAAGGGACAGCUACUAACUCAGAGUGCAGUGCCAGCGCAUCAAGGACGUCAGACACAGCAGCCAGGCGGCAAAUGUAGCUGCAAAUGAAAAAAUAAAUUUAUUUAUUUAUUUCACAUAAAAAUAUUCGACUUAAAGAGUGUCAAUGGAAGUAAAUAAUAUAUUAAAUACGAACAUAUAAAUAAAAAAAUUCGUGUAUGGAUUCAGAAUAUUUAGAAUUAUUCUGAAAUGAAGUACGAAUUAUACUUGAUUCCUGACUCGCGCCCAAUAUCUUACGAAAAAUGUUUGAUAUUUUUCUCUUCGUUCAAUUCAACAAUGAAAAGCUAAAAGCAUGAGGAAACCAACAUUUCGAUAAUAAUAUGAUAAUAAAU